CGGCUGAAGAGGAGGUGUGCAUCAGUCAGUAAGUUCCAAUUUAUAUGAAGAACCUACAUAUGCAAAAACUUCCACAGAAUAUAAUUGGCUUCAUAUUACACUUCUUAUUGUCUUUCUGAUUCUUUUCCUCUUUAUACCAAUCUACCUGACCAGCAAUCAUGGAAUACGAAGAAAUAAUUGUUGCUGAACAAAGAAUAUAGGAUAUUUAUUUCCCUCUCACUCUAACUACUAGAUGUGCAUUUGGGUUUGGACAAAUGCAAAAAAAAAAAUCACUAAUUUUGCGGCUGCUCUGAAUACAUUCCACUAAUUUCUGUUCACAAGCAAUAAUUUUGUCAAAAUACAUUUGAGCCAAAAAACCAAAUGACCAAAUUGUGGAUGGAACUGAAUAUUUUUUUGUCCAAUAAUUCAAAGCAUUCCUCCAAAACAACUUUUUUUUGCACGUCUAUUAACUACCUCUGCCCCUUUUAUUUGUGAGAUUAUGCUUUCUGUUUCCAUGUCCUCUUUUUAUUCUCUUACCAAAUCAGAUUUUUUAUUCAGUUGUAUCUAUUCCACAUUUGGUGGAGUGGAGCGCUAUUGUUUGCACACAAGCGAUAUCAGGUUUUAUAUUUGCUUUUGCAUAUAUAUUUUUGCAUUUUUUAUUUAAAAAAAAAAAAUCUUUUUUGAAAUCUUUUUUUGGUAUGUAUGUUCUGUGUGAAUGAAGAGUGUAUUGGGCAUAACAUUUAUGCUUCUCUGUAAUCUAUGCAUUCUUUUUGAUAAUUAAAAACUUUAUAUCUG